UUAAGUGAAGAAGGGCGCACGGUGGAUGCCUUGGCACUAGGAGCCGAAGAAGGACGGGACUAACACCGAUAUGCCUCGGGGAGUCGUAAGUAGACUGCGAUCCGGGGAUUUCCGAAUGGGGGAACCCACUGCUCGUAAUGGAGCAGUACCUGUAUCUGAAUACAUAGGAUACAGGAGGCAGACCCGGGGAACUGAAACAUCUCAGUACCCGGAGGAAGAGAAAGCAAACGCGAUUUCCUGAGUAGCGGCGAGCGAAACGGAAACAGCCCAAACCAAAAGGCUUGCCUUUUGGGGUUGUAGGACACUCCACCAGGAGUUAUCAAGAAAUGUGUUAGACGAAUCGAUCUGGAACGAUCAGCCAAAGCAGGUAAGAGCCCUGUAGUUGAAAAGGCAUUUCCUCCGGAGUGGAUCCUGAGUACGGCGGAACACGUGGAAUUCCGUCGGAAUCCGGGAGGACCAUCUCCCAAGGCUAAAUACUCCCUAGUGACCGAUAGUGAACCAGUACCGUGAGGGAAAGGUGAAAAGCACCCCGGGAGGGGAGUGAAAGAGAACCUGAAACCGUGCGCUUACAAGUAGUCGGAGCACAUUGAUGUGUGACGGCGUACCUUUUGUAGAAUGGACCGGCGAGUUACGAUCGUAUGCAAGGUUAAGUGGAAGACACGGAGCCGCAGCGAAAGCGAGUCUGAACAGGGCGAAUGAGUAUGCGGUCGUAGACCCGAAACCGUGUGAUCUACCCAUGUCCAGGGUGAAGGUCAGGUAACACUGACUGGAGGCCCGAACCCACGUAUGUUGAAAAAUGCGGGGAUGAGGUGUGGGUAGGGGUGAAAUGCCAAUCGAACACGGAGAUAGCUGGUUCUCUCCGAAAUAGCUUUAGGGCUAGCCUCAAGGAUAGCGAGUACUGGAGGUAGAGCACUGAUUGGACUAGGGGCCCUCACCGGGUUACCGAAUUCAGUCAAACUCCGAAUGCCAGCUACUUCCCCUUGGGAGUCAGACUAUGGGUGAUAAGGUUCAUAGUCGAAAGGGAAACAGCCCAGACCGCCAGCUAAGGUCCCCAAGUAUACGUUAAGUGGAAAAGGAUGUGGCGUUGCCCAGACAACCAGGAUGUUGGCUUAGAAGCAGCCAUCAUUUAAAGAGUGCGUAAUAGCUCACUGGUCGAGUGACACUGCGCCGAAAAUAUACCGGGGCUAAACGUAUCACCGAAGCUGCGGAUCCAGAGGUCAGAUAUCAGAGGCCGGAAGUCGGAAAAAGAGAGUGAAUAGAAGAUGAUAAAAAGUUACCAAGAAUUAAGAGUUUAUAAAAUCUCUUAUCGGCUUGCGUUACAAGUUCAUCAAAUCACCCUAGAAUUUCCAGACUUCGAAAAGUAUGAACUUGGAAGUCAAUUAAGAAGAGCAGCUACUUCCAUACCCGUAAAUAUUGCUGAAGGGUAUGGUAAGAAAAGUACGAUUGCUGAUUUUAAAAGGUUUUUGUUGAUAGCACAGGGGUCUAAAGAUGAGGUAAAGGUUUUAUUAGAAUUAUCUAAGGAUCUUCAAUAUAUCAACAAUGAGACUUUCGAGGAAUUGUUUAACCAGUAUGAUGAUUUAGGAAAGCAACUUUAUUCAAUGAUCCAAAAAUGGGUUUAAAGUAAAUCUGACAUCUGGUUUCUGAUAUCUGACUUCUGUGAUGGUAGGAGAGCGUUCCAAGUGCUGCGAAGUCAGACCGUGAGGACUGGUGGAGCGCUUGGAAGUGAGAAUGCCGGUAUGAGUAGCGAAAAAAGAGUGAGAAUCUCUUUCACCGAAUGCCUAAGGUUUCCUGAGGAAGGCUCGUCCGCUCAGGGUUAGUCGGGACCUAAGCCGAGGCCGAAAGGCGUAGGCGAUGGACAACAGGCAGAUAUUCCUGUACCACCUCAUGACCGUUAUGUAGCGAUGGGGAGACGCAGUAGGAUAAGGAAAGCGCACCGAUGGAUGUGUGCGCCCAAGCAGUAAGAGAGCUGGAUAGGCAAAUCCGUUCAGCAAUCUCAAGCUGUGAUGGGGAGUGAACAUGAGUAGCGAAGUUCCUGAUUUCACACUGCCAAGAAAACCCUCUAGCGAGGUCACAGGUGCCCGUACCGCAAACCGACACAGGUAGGCGAGGAGAGAAUCCUAAGGUGAUCGGGAGAACUCUCGUUAAGGAACUCGGCAAAAUGACCCCGUAACUUCGGGAGAAGGGGUGCUUCAUUUACAUGGAGCCGCAGUGAAUAGGCCCAAGCGACUGUUUAGCAAAAACACAGGUCUCUGCGAAGCCGAAAGGCGAAGUAUAGGGGCUGACACCUGCCCGGUGCUGGAAGGUUAAGGGGAAGCGUUAGUACCUUCGGGUGCGAAGCGCAGAACCGAAGCCCCAGUAAACGGCGGCCGUAACUAUAACGGUCCUAAGGUAGCGAAAUUCCUUGUCGGGUAAGUUCCGACCCGCACGAAAGGUGCAACGACUUGGGCACUGUCUCAACGAGAGACCCGGUGAAAUUAUACGAUGCGUGAAGAUGCGCAUUACCCGCGACAGGACGGAAAGACCCCGUGGAGCUUUACUGUAGCCUGAUAUUGCAUGUUGGUACAGCUUGUACAGGAUAGGUGGGAGCCUUAGAACCCGGAGCGCCAGCUUCGGUGGAGGCACCCGUGGGAUACCACCCUGGCUGUACGGACAUUCUAACCCAGGACCGUCAUCCGGUUCGGAGACAGUGUCAGGCGGGCAGUUUGACUGGGGCGGUCGCCUCCUAAAAGGUAACGGAGGCGCCCAAAGGUUCCCUCAGAAUGGUUGGAAAUCAUUCGUAGCGUGUAAAGGCAGAAGGGAGCUUGACUGCGAGACCUACAAGUCGAGCAGGGACGAAAGUCGGGCUUAGUGAUCCGGUGGUUCCGUAUGGAAGGGCCAUCGCUCAACGGAUAAAAGCUACCCCGGGGAUAACAGGCUUAUCUCCCCCAAGAGUUCACAUCGACGGGGAGGUUUGGCACCUCGAUGUCGGCUCAUCGCAUCCUGGGGCUGUAGUCGGUCCCAAGGGUUGGGCUGUUCGCCCAUUAAAGCGGUACGCGAGCUGGGUUCAGAACGUCGUGAGACAGUUCGGUCCCUAUCCGUCGUGGGCGUUGGAAGUUUGAGAGGAGCUGUCCUUAGUACGAGAGGACCGGGAUGGACACACCGCUGGUGUACCAGUUGUUCCGCCAGGAGCAUAGCUGGGUAGCUACGUGUGGCAAGGAUAAGUGCUGAAAGCAUCUAAGCAUGAAGCCACCCUCAAGAUGAGACUUCCCACUUCCAGAGGUCAGAGUUCAGAAGCCAGAAGUCAGAGA
rnacentral:rRNA from 1 species